GACGAACGCUGGCGGCGCGCUUAACACAUGCAAGUCGAGCGAAGCGGCGGACGGGUGAGUAACACGUGAGUAACCUGCCUUUUACACAGGGAUAGCCUCGGGAAACCGGGAUUAAAACCUGAUGGUAAAAGAUGGACUGGCGUCGCAUUAGCUAGUUGGUGAGGUAACGGCCCACCAAUGCAACGAUGGGUAGCCGGCCUGGUAGGGGGAACGGCAAGAGUGGGACGGAGAAAAGGGCCAAACACUACGGGGGGCAGCAGUGGGGAAUAAUGCACAACGGGGGAAACACUGAUGCAGCGAGGCGGCGUGAGAGAAGAAGGCCUUCGGGUCGUAAAGCUCUUUUAUAUGGGAAGCGGUACCAUAAGAAAAAGCCCCGGCUAACUACGUGCAAGCAGCCGCGUAAUUC
rnacentral:rRNA from 1 species